UCUCACCCACACACUAGCUAAUUAACACAAGUUUCAUACAUCUGUGCUAAGAGGGUUUUGAAAUGGUAACAACGUCACUACAAGAAAAAUGGGAAAUUGCAGCGAAAAGUUGCCAGCGCUUUUUCGAAUUGCCACAAAUUGAUUGAGUAGCUGCGGUUGUUGUAGCGUUAGUUGUCUUCGUCGAGGAUUGGUCAAGAGAGCAGCGGUUUGUGUAUCAAAUGCCGCAAGUCACAUAUUGCUCAAUUUGAUUUAAUAAUCAAAUUGGGUGAACCCAGGGCCAUUAAUCCUCAUUUUUGUGCGAACCCAAAAAGGGGGAAAAUGUGCCAAUCACCAAUUUUAAGACUCCUUGCUGCCGUAUACCUUCGGUCCAUCAGCUGCAGCCGCUACAUCUUUCCUCAUCAUAGAUCUGCUCAAGCUGCCGUAUAGCUCCCGCGUGUGAAAGGAAGGUGGAGAGGCACGUUCGUUGUUCAUUCCUCAGUCGUGCAUGUCCCGGUGUCGUCGCGUGGCUUCCCAACCAUCCCGAUGUCGUCGUCCUCAACCUUCCUCCCUUGCCCUGUUGUGCGCCGCAUGAAUGCACCCUCUCCCUGCUUCCUGCUCAAUUCCUAUGUGAUCAUAUUUCCUAUCAUUGAAGGAAGUUUCAGAAUCCAUACAACUUGUUCAGAGAGGCUUAUAGUGCUCUGAGAGUUCAUCUCAACACUUCUAAGCUCUUGGAAGAGAAGAAUCUCCCCAAUAUUAUUGACAAAUUUGGUUAGUGCACUUAGGAUGCAUUCUACUUAUCCGUGGAGCCUGUUGGAGUUUUUCAUGGCUUGAAGGAUUUUGCUGAGAUUGGUGGUGUGUCUCCAAGGUUUGUGAUCAUUGAUGAUGGAUGGCAAAGCAUCAAUUAUGAUAAUAGUGAUGACCCAUAUGAAGAUGCCAAGAAUCUUAUCUUGGGUGGACCACAAAUGACAGCAAGACUUCACAGGUUUAUGCCAUCUUAAAAAUUUCUAUAUUUAGUCCUAAUAAGAAAUCAAAGAAAAGGUAUGACAUAGAACAAUAAAACAAUAGAAAAGCAUUAUUAUGCUACUAGUACAUAUUAGUAAGAGUUGCCAUGUUCUGCCACCAUGAUUGCUUAAAUUAAUAUGUGAUAAGUUGAAGACACGCAUUAUAUAUUAAUUAUUGCUCCUUUGUAUAUAUGAUUUGAUGUGGUAGAUAUCAGAUAAUGCAUCAUAUUCAAUUGCUUUGAUGUGGUAGAUAUCAAAUUUUACUAUUUUAUUAUAUCGAAAAGUAGAUUUGGAGUUAGAUUAAUUAGCUAAUUCAUUCAGCAAGUAGAUUGGUUAUUAAAUAAAAUUUGUAUUUGCUAGUCAAAUUUCUAUUGGUCAAACUCAUUUUGUAAGUAGUUUAACAUUUGGUAAUGUUACUUGAGAUAUAUACGUUGUGAUUAAGAAAUGUGUCUUUUGACAUUGACUUAAGAAAAGGCACAUGUAAUUGUUAAAUUACUAAGCGGAUGAAUAUGGGUGAGCCGGUGAGGGGAGGAGUGAGGAACGCAAUUUGACAAUUGAUUUCUUCUAAUACUUUCAAAUGGCUGAUAAAUUGAGAUUAUGUUGUUUGUGUUCUCCAGGUCCUAUGCAUUUUUCAUUAUUGAUAAAUGAUAGUUACUAUUUUUGAAUGGGAGGUAUGAUCCUGUUAUGUUUCUAUUUAUGUUGCUUUCUGCUACUGUCUUCAACAUGUUGUCCAAUCUGUUAUGGGUGGAAGAAGAUUAAAGCUCAGUUCUUUUGCAUUUUUAUUUUGUUCUUUUUUUCCAACUCGAUUUCUAGCAUAUGAAAUUGGAAGUAUAAUUUUUCAAUCCAACUAAAAUUAAACUAUAAUAAUGACAUAUUGCCUUCGUAUGAUAUUUGUUGUGUGCUGAAUUAAUCCAAAUAAAUAUGCUCACUAAUAUAUGGGCAGCAUUAUAUUCUAUUAUGCUCACUAUUAUGCUUCUUGUAUUUUAAUAUGAGAUUUUGGGUGCUAAAGACUUGUUUUCCCUCUUGUUAAUCUCUAUUUGGAAAGUGUUGAAAGCUAUACUUGGAAGAGAAAAGAGUAGUACUCCUAAUAUCUGUAAUGGCUCAUUGUCUUUGAUGAAGGUGUGUGAUUAUGGGAAGCUGUAGCAAUUGGAAAAAUUGGUAAGAUUUGGGUGAACAAUGUUAGAAGAGAUAUACCCAAGCAUCAAAGGAACUUCACUACUUUCCAUCGAAAGCAGCUUGUUGAUGCCAAGAGGUCUGCUGAGAACUGUCAGAGAGAG